CAAACCCUAGCCUAUUGGUGGAUUGAAGAAUAAAGGUGAGUUCUAAUCUUGUUUUUGGAGUUAUAAAUGUUGUAUGCAUAUUGUAGUAUGCUAAAAUGGAUAAAAAUCAUGAAAUAUGGAAUGUUGAAGUUGGGUCUUGUGUUGGGUGUGUUGACCGUGUGAAGUAUAUGUGUGUGGUGUGGUAUUGGGUUGAUGAAUUAAUUGCUUGUAGCAUAUUGAUUGUCGUAGAGUGGAGAAGAGAAUAAAAAUCAUCGAUACAUGUAUAUGUGUAGUGUAGCCGUGUAUAUAGCCUCCAAAUGGUAGCAAAGAAUGAAUUAAUAUCGCUUAGCGUCGUAAUGGUUGUUGUGAUGAUUUGUAUGUUGGAAAUGAGAGUUAAAUGUCCCGAAUUGAUAUAGUAAGCGUUGCGGACUGAUUUGGAGAACUUUGUGCAUUUAAUGCAAUCCUUAUAUAUGAGAACCAUUAACAUAUGAAUAUGUGUAGUGUGAAUGAAUGUGAGUCAUAGAUUAUGCCGAAUAUCGCAUUAUUAUCGCUUAAGCGCUUUCGUGUCGUCGUUACGAAUUUUAGUUUGGAAUUGAGCAUUUAAUGACUUAAGAUUGAUGUUGAGAUUGUACGGGCUGAUUUGAGGGUUAUUGUGCGUUGAUGUAAUUUGUAUAUUUUAUGAAAAUGGUAUCGUUAUAUUGUGAAUUGUGAUACAAAACAUGAAUUGAAAGUCGGAAGUGUGCCCAGUGGGCUGCUCACGGGUAGGGGCUGUUUUCGGCCAAAAAUUUGGAGAAAUUGUGGAUUGUUGGAAAAAUUAUGUGAAUUUUUUAGAAUGUUCUUGAAUGUUGUUAGUAUGGGUUUGGGUUAAUAAUCGAAUGUACGAACGAUAUUGUGGCUUGAAAGUAAGCCAUUGAAUUGAAUAAUUGGAAAGUUGUCGAAUGGUGUAAAAGAGAGCUACUAUUAUUAUUUUGCCUUUCGAAUUGAUUAUCGAUGUUGCUAGGUUGGUUAUUGUGGUUGUUGUUGUUGAUUUUGAGCGAGUUAAAUUCUCGGGAUGGCCUAUUUAUAGGGGAAAUGCUGCCGAAUUUUCUGUAGAAUUUAAUGUUAGUUGGAAUAAAUGGCUUAAGUGCCUAUGUUUAAUAUUGGAUAUUCGUUGGCAUAUUUGUAGACCUUGGGGAGCCCGAGGCGUAGAUUGGAAUUUACUUUAUAUUGGCCAUCUUGGAGUGCGUACGAGGUACAGACGCACAGUUUGGUGAUCUACCCAUUUAGGACACCCUAUUCUGCUGUUUGGAGUGCUCUUCUCAUUUCAGAGCACACAUUUUGGUAUAUAUUCGUUCGCCAUGUAUAUAUGUAUUUGUUCAGGGGCACGGCGGGGCCCUGUCCCGCCAUAUGAUUCGGUUUGUCUAUUUAGAGGUCUGUAGACGUAUUUGUGGGUGUGUGUGCCUACUUCUGUACGGAUGUGUUUGCAUGACUCUAUUCGUUAUGGCAGCCUCGUCGGCGUGCAUUUUGUAUAUGUUUGUGGCAGCCUUGUCGGCGUGCAUUUGUAUAUGCGUUUUGGGCCGUUGUGCCAUUUGACAUCCUUGUCGGCUUUUGACAUAUUUGAUAGCCUUGCCGGCUUUUUGAUAUAUGUGCAUAUGUUCGGCGAUGUAUAUUCCGCCGCCUCUUCUGAUUCUGAUAUAAUGUUUUGUACGCGCAAUCGCGCAAGAUAA